AGCCUAUACAGGUGUUGCAUGGCUGUCGUCAGCUCGUGUCGUGAGAUGUUCGGCUAAGUCCGCUAACGAGCGCAACCCUCGUCGUAUGUUAUAUGUGUCAUACGAGACUGCCGGUAAAAGCCGGAGGAAGGUGAGGAUGAUGUCAAGUCAGCAUGACCUUUAUAUCCAGGGCUACACACACGCUACAAUGGUCUGUACAAUGGGUAGCCAAGCCGCGAGGCGGAGCCAAUCCUGAAAGCAGGCCUCAGUUCAGAUUGCAGUCUGCAACUCGACUGCAUGAAGCCGGAGUUGCUAGUAACCGCAGGUCAGCAAUACUGCGGUGAAUACGUUCCCGGGUCUU
rnacentral:rRNA from 1 species